rnacentral:rRNA from 1 species
ACCCUGCCCAGUGUAAUUAUCAACGGCCGCGGUACCCUGACCGUGCAAAGGUAGCAUAAUAAUUUGCCUUUUAAUUAAAGGCUAGUAUGAAAGGGCAAACGAGAAUAAGACUGUCUCACUUAUACCCAUAAAAAUUUAUCUUCAGGUGAAGAAGCCUGAAUCUAUAUAAAAGACAAGAAGACCCCGUCGAGCUUUAGCUUAACAUAUAACUCUCUCUCCCACCCUAUACCUCCUUAUAUGGAAUCUUUUGUUGGGGCGACAACGGAAUAUACUAAUCCUCCGUAAUACCAAAGACCUUAUGUCACACAACUGAUCCCUAAUAGAUCAUAAGAAAUAGCUACCGCAGGGAUAACAGACUAAUCUUCCUUCGGAGCCCAAAUCUACAGGAAGGCUUGGCACCUCGAUGUUGGCUUAGGAAAUCCCCUAGAUGAAGCAGUCUAGGAAGUGG